ACUACGGGAGGCAGCAGUGGGGAAUAUUGCACAAUGGGGGAAACCCUGAUGCAGCGACGCCGCGUGAGUGAUGACGGCCUUCGGUAUGUAAAGCUCUGUCUGCAGGGACGAAAAUGACGGUACCUGAGUAAGAAGCCACGGCUAACUACGUGCCAGCAGCCGCGGGAAUACGUAGGGGGCGAGCGUUUUCCGGAUUUACUGGGCGUAAAGGGAGAGUAGGCGGACGUGGAAGUGAGAUGUGAAAUGCGCGGGCUCAACUGGGGAGCUGCAUUUCAAACUGGACGUGGAGAGUGCAGGAGAGGAGAAUGGAAUUCCUAGUGUAGCGGUGAAAUGCGUAGAGAUUAGGAAGAACACCAGGUGCGAAGGCGAUUUACUGGACUGUAACUGACGUUGAGGCUCGAAAGCGUGGGGAGCAAACAGGAUUAGAUACCCUUGUAGUC
rnacentral:rRNA from 1 species